UCAUGCCUGUCGUCCCAGCACUUUGGGAGGCCGAGACAGGCGGAUCACCUGAGGUCCGGAGUUAGAUACCAGCCUGGCCUACGUGGUGAAACCCCGUCUCUAAUAAAAAUACAAAAAUUAGCCGGGUGUGGUGCCGUGCGCCGGUAGUCCCAGCAACUCGGGAGGCUGAGGUAGGAGAAUCGCUUGAACCCGGGAGUCGGAGGUUGCAGUGCUGAGAUGGCACCAUUGCACUCCAGCCUGGGCCACAAGAGCGAAACUCCAUCGCAAAAAAAGAAGUCGAGAAGAGGAAAUGAGACAUAGGGGCAGGCGAGCCGGGAAAAUACUGCUACUAAGGAUCCUAAAGCAGUGAACAUGCUGUUAAUACUUGUAAGACUCCUAGCAAACUGCAUUUAAUUUUUUUCAAUUAGUUUUAGUGUACAUAAAGGCAGGGUCUUGCUCUGUUGCUCAGGCUGGAGUGAAGUAGAACAUUCACAGCCCACUGCAACCUUAAACACCUGGGCUCAAGCAAUCCUCCUGCCUCAGCCUCCUGAGUAGCUGGAACCACAGAUGUGCACCACCAUGCCCAGCUACAUGUCUUUCUUUUUGGGGGACAGCAGAAACCUGGACAGAGGAGGAAUCCUGAUACCCAGUUCUGAAACAAAGUGGCAGAAUUUGUAGUACAGAAGAAGGAUCUUGUGACUGGUAUUCUGUUAUCCACAAGGAGAUGAGAUCUUGCUCUGUUACCCAGACUGGAGUGCAGUGGCAUGAUCGUAGCUCACUGCACCCUCAAACUCCUGGACUCAAGUCAUCCUCUACCUCUGCCUCCCUGGUAACUGAAACUACAGGUACAAGCCCCCACACCUAGCUAAUUUAUUGUUAUUAUUAUUAUUAUUUUGUAGAGACAGGGUCUCACUAUGUUGCCCAGGCUGGUCUCUAACUCCUGGCUUCAAGCAAUCCUUCUGCCCUGGCCUCCCAAAGUGUUGGAAUUACAGGUGUGAGCCACCACUGUGCCCAGCCCAGUUCCCUCAUUACUAGAGCUAUGUAAAUAUUGUUUUCUUCAGAAACAAUGUACCAUUUUAGAAGAAAUAUUCAAAUUGAUAUUCGUUUCCUAUAGCCUACCAUUUUCUUAAAAUC